CGUGGUGAGACUCCGCUUUGAUGAGGCCCCUGUUCAACUCUCGAGGUCUUCUCAGGUUUCGAGUGCGAGUGCCAAGUCCCAUCGCGGAGGAGAGGGAGAGCUAUUACUCCAACGCAACCAAGGCCCGGGACCAGACGCGGCGCCGCAGUGCCAUGCCUGCGACCAACCGCAGCAAGCCAGCCAUGGAGCUCUACCGCCCACCCACACUCCGAGGACCCGGCAUUUUCGACAACGCGAACGGCGACGCAGUCUACAACGGCAAAGUGGCCUCGAACGGCGGCUACCACGAGAGCAAGUCCGGCCUCAACGUGAACGCCCGCGAGUUCGUCUCCGUGAACACCGCCCGGCCGCCGCUGCAACACUCCAAGUCCUCCAGCAGCGUCCCUCUGCAGGGACGACACGACGGGCUGCAGCACUCCAAGUCCGGCAGCAACCUUCGUCAGAGCAGUAACGGGGAGGUGCGGCCCCCGAGCGGUUCCCCCCCCAGGGUACACUUCAGCGACGACAAGGAGAAUGACCCACAGCUCAAGAUCUCCCGCCCUCCUUCCCUGGCCGUGGGGGCACUGAGCCAACCGGGCAUCAAGCGAUCGAAGUCCCUCGGAUCAGCUGAUCUGCGCGCGACCCAGCUGUUGGAGGCGUCGACCCCGCCCGCCGCCAUGCCUGACCUGGGGCCAUUCUCACCCGACGUCCAGGGCGCCAUCACCAAGGCCAUGACAGACCCGAACAGUGUGAGCGCCCGCCAGCUGAUGGAGGUGGUUCGCCACGUGUUCACGCGCGUGGUCGAGGCUUCGCGCCACGCGACCCGCGGCCAGGCUCUGCAUCUCGAUCAUUGAGAAAGAGAAGAACGAAACAUUCCUGGAGACGCUUCUGAACACGUGUCAGGAGUACUUCCAAGAGCGUGAUCGCCUCCUGAGGAACAACCCGCCAGCCCCUUACCCCGGCUUCGUCCCCGCGCACCCCAGGUGGAUCGCGUACAUGACCUUCCUCAAUGAGAUGUAUACGCAGCUCAAACGACGGCAUGUGCAGCUCAUGACGAAACGGAUGAGAAACAGUGAGACUCCAGCGGGACUCCUCCUCCUGACCCUCCUCUCACAGUGUUGCCAAGUUUGCCUCAAGGAAAACUCUGUGAAUAGUCUUGCAGAGACUGAAUGCUUAUUCUUCGUGCUGACGGGCCUGGGGAAGGACAUUGAAGUGGAACUCCCUCACCAGAUGGCUAAGGUAAUGGGAGCAGCCAGGGACGCCUUCCUCACCACUGUGCGAGUCCCUGCAGUGCGCAAGACCCUCCUGCAGUUGAUCGAGAUGCACGCGGCAAGGUGGCAGCUACCGGCACCAGCUGUUAUGUACUAUUAUCCAGGGUCGGGGAGUAAAUAAUGAAUUGUAAACGAAGUCUUUGGUUUUGUGGGUCCCAGAUGCAUUGUUUCCUUUUUUUAUAUAUAAAAUCUGGUGCCAAAGGUGUUUUUGUUAUGGAAGGAAAAGACUUCGUAUAGAAGGAAGGGAAAAUAAUUGCCAUGUUUGGGUAAUUGACAUGUUAAUGUUACUUGUUAUUCGCUUGGCCAAAGAAUAUUCUUUUCUUGAAAGAUAACACAAACAACCCCGGUCUUAGCGGUGACAUUAACAGGAAAAUAUUCUUUCAAACAAGUGCCGUAACUUGGCACUCCUGGCCUAGUCAUCCUUGUUUGCCAUGUCAAGAAACAGAAUCAAUCUCAAAACAACUGCAAGAAAAUUGGUUGUUUGACUACAUAUGGAGCUUGAUGACAUUAUUAAACUCUUCUCAUCAUACAGACUCUGCUCUGGAAUAUGAAUGUAUAUCUUUGGUUUCACUGUCGAAAUUUAAGGCUGUUAAUCAAAGCAUUACAUCAAACAACACUGAGCUUUGGCUGUUUUCUGUCACUUGUCCAAAUCUUCCCAAAACACUGGCUUUUUUACAUUAUCAAGAACAUAUGAAAGGAUUUUUUCAUCUCCAACUGACAGCAUGAUCACUACCCCAUUUCUCUAAAGCAACAACAGACAAAAGUGCACAUUUACAGUGCUUAUUGCAAGACCCAAAGAGUUAUACAAAACUUGAUGAAGAAACGGGAGGCAAGCUACCCUUGUGCCAUGUUGUUGUGCUAGUUUACAGUACUCCACUGGGAUGACCUUCCUCAGUGGCUUUGAACCUGCCGCCAUACAGUGUACCGCCGCUCGCAUGUUGAGACUCACGGGACAAGGUUGCCUGUUAAGCAUGUCCCAAGGCAGAGGAGGUGUGCUCUGGGGGAACGCCCGCUGUUCCUCGUGAAACCUAAAGCUCUUUUGUGUGCACCAGAAGGAGGGAUGUCUUACUCUGACUCCUUUAACGAUCGACCGACGUUGAUAAAACGAUUCUCGAUACUUCUCUCGAGUGACAGCCCGUGCGGCAAGGCCCGGGCAGUCAUCCUCAAGGUAAUGAAGUGGCCAGCUGGAGGCAAGGAGAAGCCCGGAGGCUGUGGGUGUUCUCCGCGGUGCUCCCUCGACGGCUCUUCGUGCAGGGAGCUCACACGCCUCACUGCUUACAAGGUUCCCACACUCGCUGGAUCUGAGACAGGGGUGCUGGCAAACUUUUUGAAAAAAGAAAGAGCUGAUAAUUGUUCCUUAUCAAAGGAAAAUGCCUAGAAGGUGAAAUUAGUUGCACUGAAACACUUAGAAGGGGCCAGAAAUGCCAGCCUCGUAUAUCAUCAAAUGCACCAAUGACCUAGCUAGUGGUGCCAGGUCGUGAGAGUGCCAGAGAUGAGAAUUUUGGAAGUGGCCUCAAGGUCAUUUAGCUUAAUCAUUGAGACACAGGGACGUGCGUGUCUUGGCAGUUCUCUGCGGGUGUGGCAGCCCUCUCCAUGUGGCUCAAAGGCGGUCACUCUAACUGCUCUCUGCUCUACACCCCGGGCCCCUCUCCAGCUGUACCCAUGAGCUGUUCUCCUCCCUUUCCCCCUAAUCCAGCUGUGUCUUGUGACCAGCUGCGAUCGUCUUCCAGAAAGGAUCCAACUCCAAUGUGACAGCUUUCAGUUGGUUCACCUCCUGCAGUCCUUUCUCUUUCCUCUCCUUGCAAUGCCUUGCAAAAUUACAUGGAUCUUACUCCUUUUUGUGACCAGGAAGGACUGGACCUGCACUACAAGAGAAAAAAUGAUGUAAAAAUGAAAAGGAAUAUACUGAGUUGACUGGAUUCCUCUGAUAACAUCCAGAUCAACUGCAUUCUUUUGAUAACUGAUGAACAUUUUGUAUAAUUACAGAAAAGAACACUUUGUGAUAUGAUUUCUAUUAUUUUUUCCAGAUUUCUUUGUAUUCAUCAGUCAGUCAUUCUUUGCCUUUCAAUAUUAUGAAUUUAUUAUAGCUUUUGAAUCACGACUUACUGUAUUUCUUGUGUGCUGUUGUAUUCAGGAUACACUUGCAGCUGGAUGAGAUUU